rnacentral:rRNA from 1 species
GCUGAGAACCACUGCUCUAAAAGGCACCAGAUCCUGUCCGAUGUUGGAAGCUAAGUAGCGUCAGCCCUGGUUAGUACUUAGCUAGGUGUCUGCCAAUAAAUUCCAGGGGCUCUGGGCU